rnacentral:rRNA from 1 species
CCCCUAGAUGUUCUGGGCCGCACGCGCGCUACACUGAACAGUUCAACAAGUCUUAACCUUGGCCGAUAGGUCUGGGUAAUCUUUGAACGCUGUUCGUGAUUGGGAUAGACCUUUGCAAUUAUGGGUCUUCAACGAGGAAUUCCUAGUAAACGCAAGUCAUCAGCUUGCAUUGAUUACGUCCCUGCCCUUUGUACACACCGCCCGUCGCACCUACCGAUUGAAUGGUCCGGUGAAAUCUCGGGACGGCGGCUUGGUCGCUUGCGUCCGACUGCUGAAACUUGAUUAAACCUUNUNAUUUAUNGGAAGGUGAANUCGUANCA